CAGCCGGGUAAUUCCAGCUCCAAUAGCGUAUAUUAAAGUUGUUGCAGUUAAAAAGCUCGUAGUUGAAUUUCGGGAUUGACGUGAUGGUCAUGCCUUAAGGGGUAUGAACUGUUACAGUUGAUUUCUCACCUUCUGGAGAAACUUGAUGUCCUUUAUUGGGUGUCUUGCGGAUCCAGGACCUUUACCUUGAAAAAAUUAGAGUGUUUAAAGCAGGCAUUUUUGCUCGAAUACAUUAGCAUGGAAUAAUAGAAUAGGACGGCAUGGUUCUAUUUUGUUGGUUUCUAGGAUCACCGUAAUGAUUAAUAGGGAUAGUUGGGGGCAUUAGUAUUCAAUUGUCAGAGGUGAAAUUCUUGGAUUUAUUGAAGACUAACUACUGCGAAAGCAUUUGCCAAGGAUGUUUUCAUUAAUCAAGAACGAAAGUUAGGGGAUCGAAGACGAUCAGAUACCGUCGUAGUCUUAACCAUAAACUAUGCCGACUAGGAAUCAGACGAUGUUAAUUUUUUAAUGACUCGUUUGGCACCUUACG
rnacentral:misc_RNA from 1 species